rnacentral:rRNA from 1 species
GUCCAAAUGAAAAAAUAUUUGGUCUAACCUGCCCACUGAUAAGUUUUAAAGGGCCGCGGUAUUCCUAACCGUGCAAAGGUAGCAUAAUCAUUAGUCUUUUAAUUGAAGGCCGGUAUGAAUGGUUGGACGAGGAAUAAACUGUUUCAAUUAUAUGAAUUGAACUUAACUUUUAAGUGAAAAGGCUUAAAUUUCCUAAAAAGACGAUAAGACCCUAUAAAUCUUCACAUUAAAAUUUACAGUUAUUUAAUUUGUAAGUUUAAAAGAAAAUGUUAACUUAAUGUUAUGUUGGGGAGACAAAAAUAUAAUAAAUUUAACUAUUUUUUUGUAGAACAAAAAUUAUUGAAUUAAAGAUCCUUUUUUAAGAUUGCAAAAUUAAGUUACUUUAGGGAUAACAGCGUUAUUCUUUUUGAGAGUUCCCAUCGAAAAAAGAGUUUGCGACCUCGAUGUUGAAUUAAAAUUUCUUUAUGGUGCAGCAGCUAUUAUAGAAAGUCUGUUCGACUUUUAAAAUUUUACAUGAUUUGAGUUCAGACCGGCGUGAG